GGAGAUGUAGCUCAGUGGUAGAGUGCUUGCCUAUAAUGUAUGAGGCACUUGGUUCUAGUCCCAGUAUCACCA
rnacentral:tRNA from 1 species